UACGUAGGGUGCGAGCGUUGUCCGGAUUUAUUGGGCGUAAAGAGCUCGUAGGCGGUUUGUCGCGUCUAUCGUGAAAACCGGGAGCUUAACUCCUGGCUUGCGGUGGAUACGGGCAGACUUGAGUUCGGUAGGGGAGACUGGAAUUCCUGGUGUAGCGGUGAAAUGCGCAGAUAUCAGGAGGAACACCGGUGGCGAAGGCGGGUCUCUGGGCCGAUACUGACGCUGAGGAGCGAAAGCGUGGGGAGCGAACAGG
rnacentral:rRNA from 1 species